GCAUUGGAGCGGAAGUUCUGACGAGCAACUCGCUCCGCGUGAGGUGCAAGAAAGUCUUUCGAUCGUAAACUCGUUUGGUCAAGAGCAGAAUCGUUGUGUAGAGUGACAAUACACAGUGAUCGGUAUUCUACCAGAAAUGGACGCUACUACGUGCCAGCAGCCGCGUAAUACGUAGGUCCCGAGCGUGUCCGGAUUUAUUGGGCGUAAAGCGAGCGCAGGUGGUUUAAUAAGUCUGAUGUAAAAGGCAGUGGCUCAAUCAUUGUGUGCAUUGGAAACUGUUAGACUUGAGUGCAGUAGAGGAGAGUGGAAUUCCAUGUGUAGCGGUGAAAUGCGUAGAUAUAUGGAGGAACACCGGUGGCGAAAGCGGCUCUCUGGACUGUAACUGACACUGAGGCUCGAAAGCGUGGGUAGCAAACAGGAUUAGAUACCCUGGUAGUCCACGCCGUAAACGAUGAGUGCUAGUUGUUUGGGGCUAUCCAGCCCUAAGUGACGCAGCAAACGCAUUAAGCACUCCGCCUGGGGAGUACGACCGCAAGGUUGAAACUCAAAGGAAUUGACGGGGGCCCGCACAAGCGGUGGAGCAUGUGGUUUAAUUCGAAGCAACGCGAAGAACCUUACCAGGUCUUGACAUACCAGUGCUAUUCUUAGAGAUAAGAAGUUACUUCGGUACACUGGAUACAGGUGGUGCAUGGUUGUCGUCAGCUCGUGUCGUGAGAUGUUGGGUUAAGUCCCGCAACGAGCGCAACCCCUAUUGUUAGUUGCCAUCAUUAAGUUGGGCACUCUAGCGAGACUGCCGGUAAUAAACCGGAGGAAGGUGGGGAUGACGUCAAAUCAUCAUGCCCCUUAUGACCUGGGCUACACACGUGCUACAAUGGUUGGUACAACGAGUCGCAAGCUAGUGAUAGCAAGCUAAUCUCUUAAAGCCAAUCUCAGUUCGGAUUGUAGGCUGCAACUCGCCUACAUGAAGUCGGAAUCGCUAGUAAUCGCGGAUCAGCACGCCGCGGUGAAUACGUUCCCGGGCCUUGUACACACCGCCCGUCACACCACGAGAGUUUGUAAUACCCAAAGCCGGUGAGCUAACCUUUUAGGAGGCAGCCGUCUAAGGUAGGAUAGAUGAUUGGGGUGAAGUCGUAACAAGGUAGCC
rnacentral:rRNA from 1 species